GUUUUAUGUGUGUCGAGAAAUUCUGUAAAGGAACACUAGAAAUAGAGGAAAACACUCAUAAAAUACUAGCACCACAACCACUAUAACAGUCUGUAGUAGUUAUGGUGCUUAAGCCACUCAACCAAGCCCUUGCAAUUACUUUGCUGGUUCUCUACAAUCCCCACCUUGGUUAAUAAAAAAAACACAAUCUGUGCUAAAAUCUAGGAGACAUAUCUAUGUAAAGGGUUUUUGCUGAGGGACUCAACUACGCCUACAAUCAUACUGUG